rnacentral:lncRNA from 1 species
CCGGAUCCUGACUGGCGCUGGAUGUGGUGGAGGGGCAGAGUUCGAUCCCUGGCUCAGGCUCUGGCCGAUCAAACUCCGCCCUCAGUCUCUGCUGGAAGUCCCGAAAACUGCUGUCUGUCUCUCCCUGCUGCCAGAGGGCUGCGCUCCAGCCCCAUGCUGACCCAAGCAGACACGAUAGGAUGGUGGUGGUCUUAUCAGUGUCUGCUGCCCCACUGAAGGGUCCCGGGACAAUUGGGCUGUCCCACACGGGGCUGGGCACGUCGCUGGAGAUGGUGGUAGGUGUGUGGUGUGGAGGGGGGUGGACGUCUUCUCCAGCAGGUGUGGGUGCUGGUGCUGCGCUGCCAUUUCGCUGGGGAACGUCCGGGCAGAGGGAAGGCGGGUCGGCGACUGGAGCAGGAAUGGAGGAUUCCCUGCGAGGCAGUCCCGGCAGCGCAGUUGCUGGCUGGCGACCUCCCGUCGCCCUCUUCCACCAGCUUUCCUCACACUGCUGGGAGGGACGUGGGUUUCCACGGACCUCGUGACGAUCCUGGAUGGGCGCGAUGGGCGGAGCCAUCCCGGCACCGACUGCCCAAACGGCGUCAUCCUGGUCGUCGUCCGUGUCCACCUCGUACCCCCGGAAGUCACAUGGGUCAUCACGGACGCCGCGAUGAUCUCGGACGCGCACGCUGGGCGGAGCCAUCCCGGCAACGACCGCCCACCGAAAAUCCACGUCAUCAUCGCUUUCGUCAUCCGUGUCCUCCCACCGGUGACUCCGAGGGUCGUCCACCCUGCGGACAUCCUGGACCCAUGGCGCGAUAAGCUCCCAUGGGCAGUACUCUGGCCAUUCGGGCUGGAGGCUGCCCACCUCCUCGCUGGAGGAACGCCGCCGUUGUUGUUGCCGCUUCUCACCCCCCUGGAAGUGACGUGGGUCCCCACGGACCUUGCGACGAUCGCAGACUGGUGCGAUGGGCGGAGCCCAACUCUCGUCUCCCGUGCUCUCGUCGUCGUCCGUGUCGUCCCAGUCCACAGGGAGCCUUGCCAGCAGAGC